UGCCAGCCGCCGCGGUAAUACGGAGGAUGCAAGCGUUAUCCGGAAUCAUUGGGUUUAAAGGGUCCGUGGGCGGACAGUUAAGUCAGGGGUGAAAGUUUGCGGCUCAACCGUAAAAUUGCCUCUGAUACUGAUUGUCUUGAAUUAGUGUGAAGUGGUUAGAAUGAGUAGUGUAGCGGUGAAAUGCAUAGAGAUUACUCAGAAUACCGAUUGCGAAGGCAGAUCACUAACACUAUAUUGACGCUGAGGGACGAAAGCGUGGGGAGCGAACAGGAUUAGAUA
rnacentral:rRNA from 1 species